ensembl:lncRNA
CAUUGUGACUGUUGGAAACGGUAUGCAGAGCUCCUCCUUCAGCUUUGAAACUUCACUCACAUAUUUGAUGAAUGAGCCGAAUCUGACCCUGUGUUUUAUUUCCAUAUAGAUCCUUUAACAACACAGACUCCUGAAACAACCACUGCACCGAUUACUACACCACCAGUUAAUGCAACCGCUGCACCAAAUGCCACUGCAUCCUUCACAACUACACCACCAGUUAAUGCAACCGCUGCACCAAAUGCAACUGCAUCCUUCAUAACUACACCACCAGUUAAUGCAACCGCUGCACAAAAUGCAACUGCAUCCUUCAUAACUACACCACCAGUUAAUGCAACUGCCGCACAAAAUGCAACUGCAUCCUUCAUAACUACACCACCAGUUAAUGCAACCGCUGCACCAAAUGCCACUGCAUCCUUCACAACUACACCACCAGUUAAUGCAACCGCUGCAUCAAAUGCAACUGCAUCCUUCAUAACUACACCACCAGUUAAUGCAACCGCUGCACAAAAUGCAACUGCAUCCUUCAUAACUACACCACCAGUUAAUGCAACUGCCGCACAAAAUGCAACUGCAUCCUUCAUAACUACACCACUUGUUAAUGCAACCGAUGCACAAAAUACGACUGCAUCCUUCAUAACUACACCACUAGUUAAUGCAACUUUUGCACCAAAUGCAACUGCAUCCUUCACAACUACACCACCAGUUAAUGCAACCGCUGCACAAAAUGCAACUGCAUCCUUCAUAACUACGCCACCAGUUAAUGCAACCGCUGUACAAAAUGCAACUGCUUCCUUCAUAACUACACCACCAGUUAAUGCAACCGCUGCACCAAAUGCAACUGCACCCUUCACAACUACACCACCAGUUAAUGCAACCGCUGUACAAAAUGCAACUGCUUCCUUCAUAACUACACCACCAGUUAAUGCAACCGCUGCACCAAAUGCAACUGCACCCUUCACAACUACACCACCAGUUAAUGCAACCGCUGCACAAAAUGCAACUGCUUCCUUCACAGCUACACCACCAGUUAAUGCAACCGCUGUACAAAAUGCAACUGCUUCCUUCAUAACUACACCACCAGUUAAUGCAACCGCUGCACCAAAUGCAACUGCUUCCUUCAUAACUACACCACCAGUUAAUGCAACCGCUGCACCAAAUGUAACUGCUUCCUUCAUAACUACACCACCAGUUAAUGCAACCGCUGCACCAAAUGCAACUGCACCCUUCACAACUACACCACCAGUUAAUGCAACGGCUGCACAAAAUGCAACUGCAUCCUUCGUAAUUACACCACCAGUUAAUGCAACCGCUGCACAAAAUGCAACUGCUUCCUUCAUAACUACACCACCAGUUAAUACAACCGCUGCACCAAAUGCAACUGCUUCCUUCAUAACUACACCACCAGUUAAUACAACCGCUGCACCAAAUGCAACUGCUUCCUUCAUAACUACACCACCUCCUGCAGCAACAAUAAAUGCAACUACUGCACAAACUGCACCAAUCAUGUCAACAUUCUUAAUGAACAUGACUCCAACAAGCAUUACAACAACAACGAGGAGGACACAUACAACCCCACCUGCAACACAAAUCUUGACCUCUACUCCCUCCACUACUUCCUCCACAACCACCAUUCCUUCAACAAUAUCACCUGAUACAACCCCAGCACCUACAUCAACAACUCCACUUGAAAGUGUUUAUGUUUUGGGGGUAACCAUGACGGUUUCAGCGUCUUCUAACCUCACUGAAGAUGACUUCAACAAUAUUGUCCAACA